rnacentral:rRNA from 1 species
UACGUAGGGCGUAAGCGUUGUCCGGAAUUAUUGGGCGUAAAGAGCUCGUAGGCGGCUUGUCACGUCGGGUGUGAAAGCCCGGGGCUUAACCCCGGGUCUGCAGUCGAUACGAGCAAACUAGAGUGUUGCAGGGGAGACUGGAAUUCCUGGUGUAGCGGUGAAAUGCGCAGAUAUCAGGAGGAACACCGGUGGCGAAGGCGGGUCUCUGGGCAACAACUGACGCUGAGGAGCGAAAGCGUGGGGAGCGAACAGG